CGGGUGAGUAACACGUAUGCAACCUGCCUGCCACAGCCGGAUAAUUGGGAGAAAUUCCGUCUAAUACGGCAUAAUGCAUCGACGGGACAUCCUGUUGGUGCCAAAGGUUAAUUCCGGUGGCGGAUGGGCAUGCGUCGCAUUAGUUAGUUGGCGGUGUAACGGACCACCAAGACGACGAUGCGUAGGGGUUCUGAGAGGAAGGUCCCCCACACUGGUACUGAGACACGGACCAGACUCCUACGGGAGGCAGCAG
rnacentral:rRNA from 1 species